rnacentral:tRNA from 1 species
UUUACCGUAGCGUAGCUGGUAAUGCGUCCGUGUACAGAAUGGAAAUUGUGGGUUCAAGUCCCGCCGGCUACA